rnacentral:lncRNA from 1 species
UUUCCUACACUCAUUCUGAAUGCUUUGAACACAAGAUGUUUGGCUUGACCGUUUGAGGUAUUCACCUUUAUCCAUAGUCUUUAGUGCAAUCCGAAAUCAAUAACGUUUUCUCAAAACCUAAAAACAAUUCAACGCAUUCAAACCUUUUGUUUGAGCCUUAGGGCGACACCAUUCGAAAAUCCUUCUUCAAGGUAAUAAAAUCAACAAAACAAACACAAACAAUUUC